UUUAGAUAUAAAGUAUAUAAGCUUAAGUAGUAUUAGUUAUAGUCUUGAAACUUAAAGAAUUUGGCGGUAUUUUAGUCUUUUUAGAGGAAUCUGUUUUAUAAUCGAUAAUCCGCGUUGGACCUUACUUAAUUUAUUAAAUAUGUAWAUCGCCGUUAAUAUAAUCUUAUUAGAGUUAUUAAAUUUUUUUAAUAUUUAUUAAAUAGUGUUUCAGGUCAAGGUGCAGUUUAUAAUUAAGUUAAAAUGGAUUACAUUUUUUGUAAAAAGAAUGAAUUAUUAAUUGUAAUUAUUAAUAUGAAGGUGGAUUUAAUAGUAAUUUUAUGUAGAUUGKUAUUAUGAUUAUAGCUCUAAAAUAUGU
rnacentral:rRNA from 1 species